UUGCCAACGAGACUGACUGUUUCAAUCUAAUACGGUAAGUCUUAAAACGCAAUAUCAAUGACCAUCCACACACACAAAGAACAUGGCGGUAAGUCUACAAUUGUUUAUUACUUAUAACUACUGUGUAUGAUGCGGCAAUUUGUUUACAAAAACCGGCCGGGUCAGAAAUAGCUGACGGCUUGGUGGGGGGAGGAGUUAACACGGCACCGCCCUUUGCUCCAGGCUGGCGCUCACCCGUGUCUCUCUCGAUAUCAGCCGUCCAGCUAUUAAUAUGACAAUCGGUUGUCUCCCCGCCAUUGACAACGAGAUAAGGCCGCCGCCGAAUAUGUAUUACAGAUAUUGCGGUCUGUUCCGUUUCCGACGUCCACCUUAACGGUUUGAUCAUUUUAUGUGCUUUUUCCACUGAAUUCUAUUGUGUGACUCAAUUUUAUUCUUUUUUGACGUGUUAACUAAAUAGAUAUAUACCUAUACAUAGCCGUGAGCAUACGUGACGGCAGUAGACAAAAAGUCUACAAGUGUGUCUAAGAUGACAUAGUCUUUACUAAGCUGGCUAUUGCGUUUUUAUUUUUUUUUGUGCGUGUCACCUAGGUCCGUUUUCCGUUCGUUAUGAAACUAUUUUUAAUUAUACAACUUGUGCGUCUGUACUCUUACUGGAUUACAAAAUAAAACCUAAAGUAUUUAUCCUCCUCUACACCGUGGAACGUGGAUUGCCGUCAAGGUAUAUCAGCCUUAUUUUCAUAAAAAUCUCACAAAAUAUGUUUAUAAUUAAGUGAAAAAAAGUAGAAGAAUUGUUCAAUAUUAACAACACUAGCAGCAGGUUACGAUAAUAACAAAAACUAUGUAAUAGUUCACAUUUGUUGAAAAGGGCAAACACUUUUGAUGAAUAUGAGCCCUCGAAGAGGUGUAAAUAUUCAAGCUGCGUAGAGUUUCACUCUAAUAAAUACGGGCCAGAAAAUAGAGUAGUGUUGAAGAUAAGGGCUACAUCUUCAAUAUCUGAUUCAGACGACGAAUCGAAAAAUACAGAAGAUUCAGAAACUGACUAUGAUUGCAACGGACUUUUCCCUAACACAGCACGGCCUACUGAAACACGUGAUUGUAUGUUUACGAAGAAAAGUUCAAACGCUCACGACACAUGCAAAUCGUUGAAGAGACUCGAAUACUCGAGUAGUGUUAAGAUUUACGUAGCUCAUUCUGAUGAAUUGGAAGACAGAAUAGUGUUAAAAAUGUCAAAAAUAUUCAAAACAAAACUAAAAUAUUAGACAUAACUCUAACUCAAUUAAUUUAGAUCAAAUUUUGAUGGUGGUUCGAUUAAAACUGGAUAUUCUGUAAUAAUGUAAACAAAAUUGUUAUAAAUAAUAAAUUUCAAAACUUCAUAAAGUAAUUAAAAUUGUCAAUUACAAUCAAUACAAUAAAUUUUUUAAAUAUGAAAAAUGCUUCAAGAUAUAUAUCAAACCUUUAUUGCAUAAAGGUCCAGUGUAUCCAGCCGCACAGGAAAUUCCAUUACUAUUUGUGCAGAACAUGUGUUUACAAAAAGUCAUCUUUUGUGAACACCUAGUAGGAAAAUGAGCUCCAUAUUUAUUUUUACUG